GUGAGGAAUAUUGCGCAAUGGAGGCAACUCUGACGCAGCCAUGCCGCGUGCAGGAAGAAGGCGCUACGCGUUGUAAACUGCUUUUAACCGGGAAGAAACCCCAGGACGUGUCCUGGGUUGACGGUACCGGAGGAAUAAGCACCGGCUAACUUCGUGCCAGCAGCCGCGGUAAUACGAAGGGUGCAAGCGUUAUCCGGGUGCAUUGGGGUUAAAGGGGGCGUAGGCGGGGCGUUAAGUCAGUGGUGAAAUCCUGCAGCUUAACUGUAGACUUGCCAUUGAUACUGGCGCUCUUGAGUGCGCUUGAAGUGGGCGGAAUGUGCCGUGUAGCGGUGAAAUGCUUAGAUAUGGCACAGAACACCAAUUGCGAAGGCAGCUCACUAAGGCGAUACUGACGCUGAGGCACGAAAGCGUGGGGAUCGAACAGGAUUAGAUACCCCUGUAGUCC
rnacentral:rRNA from 1 species